rnacentral:rRNA from 1 species
CAGAUGCUAAUACCGGAUUAAAAAGCUACUUUUCGCAUGAAAGAAGUUUUAAAAAAGGCGGCGUAAAGCUGUCGCUAAAGGAUGGACCUGCGAUGCAUUAGCUAGUUGGUAAGGUAACGGCUUACCAAGGCGAUGAUGCAUAGCCGAGUUGAGAGACUGAUCGGCCACAUUGGGACUGAGACACGGCCCAAACUCCUACGGGAGGCAGCAGUAGGGAAUCUUCCACAAUGGACGCAAGUCUGAUGGAGCAACGCCGCGUGAGUGAAGAAGGUUUUCGGAUCGUAAAGCUCUGUUGUUGGUGAAGAAGGAUAGAGGUAGUAACUGGCCUUUAUUUGACGGUAAUCAACCAGAAAGUCACGGGCUAACUACGUGCCAGCAGCCGCGGUAAAU